GGACCCGCACAAGCGGUGGAGCAUGUGGUUUAAUUCGAAGCAACGCGAAGAACCUUACCAAAUCUUGACAUCCUUUGACCGCUCUAGAGAUAGAGUUUUCCCCUUCGGGGGACAAAGUGACAGGUGGUGCAUGGUUGUCGUCAGCUCGUGUCGUGAGAUGUUGGGUUAAGUCCCGCAACGAGCGCAACCCUUAAGCUUAGUUGCCAUCAUUAAGUUGGGCACUCUAGCGAGACUGCCGGUGAUAAGCCGGAGGAAGGCGGGGAUGACGUCAAGUCCUCAUGGCCCUUAUGGGCUGGGCUACACACGUGCUACAAUGGCAGUGACAGAGGGACGCUACCAGGUGACUGGAUGCAAAUCUCAAAAAGCUGUCUCAGUUCGGAUUGUAGGCUGCAACUCGCCUGCAUG
rnacentral:rRNA from 1 species